rnacentral:rRNA from 1 species
AUUGAACGCUGGCGGCAUGCCUUACACAUGCAAGUCGAACGGCAGCACGUGUGCUUGCACCUGGUGGCGAGUAGCGAACGGGUGAGUAAUACAUCGGAACAUGUCCUGUAGUGGGGGAUAGCCCGGCGAAAGCCGGAUUAAUACCGCAUACGAUCUCCGGAUGAAAUCGGGGGACCUUCGGGCCUCGCGCUCUAGGGUCGGCCGAUGGCUGAUUAGCUAGUUGGUGGGGUAACGGCCUACCAAGGCGACGAUCAGUAGCUGGUCUGAGAGGACGACCAGCCACACUGGGACUGAGACACGGCCCAGACUCCUACGGGAGGCAGCAGUGGGGAAUUUUGGACAAUGGGCGAAAGCCUGAUCCAGCAAUGCCGCGUGUGUGAAGAAGGCCUUCGGGUUGUAAAGCACUUUUGUCCGGAAAGAAAUCCUUGGCCCUAAUACGGUCGGGGGAUGACGGUACCGGAAGAAUAAGCACCGGCUAACUACGU